GACGAACGCUGGCGGCGUGCCUAACACAUGCAAGUCGAGCGAGUGAAUCUCCUUCGGGAGUGAAGCUAGCGGCGGACGGGUGAGUAACACGCGGGCAACCCGCCUCAUAGAGGGGAAUAGCCUUUCGAAAGGAAGAUUAAUACCGCAUAAGAUUGUAGCUUCGCAUGAAGUAGCAAUUAAAGGAGCAAUCCGCUAUGAGAUGGGCCCGCGGCGCAUUAGCUAGUUGGUGAGGUAACGGCGCACCAAGGCGACGAUGCGUAGCCGACCUGAGAGGGUGAUCGGCCACAUUGGGACUGAUACACGGCCCAGGCUCCUACGGGAGGCAGCAGUGGGGAAUAUUGCACAAUGGGGGAAACCCUGAUGCAGCAACGCCGCGUGAGUGAUGACGGCCUUCGGGUUGUAAAGCUCUGUCUUCAGAGACGAUAAUGACGGUACCUGAGGAGGAAGCCACGGCUAACUACGUGCCAGCCGCCGCGGUAA
rnacentral:rRNA from 1 species